CAACCAGAUUAUGAUCUCAUAAAAACUUGUCAUGCGAUAAUGCUACCAUGGUGGAUGAUGUUGGUGAUUUUUGUAUGUUUCUACUACCAUAGCACAUUGGUACUGAUUUACAUCGUUCGAUCGGAUUUGAGACAUAAUAUCCCUUACCAGCGAUCUCCACUAAUGCCUAUAAAACAUGUGUUACUUUUCAAUGCAUGGUCAGUUGGACCACAAAGAAAUUUGGACAAGACAUGGUCCAAUGUGUUUAUUUUUUCUCAAACUAUUAGUAAAUAAGUGUGU
rnacentral:lncRNA from 1 species